AACGAACGCUGGCGGCAUGCCUAACACAUGCAAGUCGAACGAGACCUUCGGGUUUAGUGGCGCACGGGUGCGUAACGCGUGGGAACCUGCCCUUAGGUUCGGAAUAACUCCCCGAAAGGGGUGCUAAUACCGGAUAAUGUCUUCGGACCAAAGAUUUAUCGCCUUUGGUUGGGCCCGCGUUGGAUUAGCUAGUUGGUAGGGUAAAAGCGUACGAAGGCGACGAUCCAUAGCUGGUCUGAGAGGAUGAUCAGCCACACUGGGACUGAGACACGGCCCAGACUCGUGCGGGAGGCAGCAGUGGGGAAUUUAGGACGAUGGGCGGAGGCCUGAUCCAGCGAUGCCGGGUGAGUGAUGACGGCCUUAGGGUUGUAAAGCUCUUUUACCCGGGAUGAUAAUGACGGUACCGGGAGAAUAAGCGCCGGCUAACUCCGUG
rnacentral:rRNA from 1 species